GUCUCGUUGGUGUAGUUGGUUAUCACGUGGGUCUCAUACCGUCAUGUAUGACUGCUCGUUGAGCAGAUAUCCCAAGGCCGCCAGUUCGAGUCUGGCACGGGACAC
rnacentral:tRNA from 1 species